GACUCAGUGGCACAGCGGUUGGUGCGCUUGCUUUAUUUACGCAAGGGCAACUAUAUAAACGAGAGGCCCCCGUUCGAUUCGGGGCUGGGUCA